rnacentral:tRNA from 1 species
AUUUGUAUAGUUUAAAAAAAACAUUAUAUUUUCAAUAUAAAAAAAAAUUAUAAAUUUUAUAAAUA